rnacentral:rRNA from 1 species
AGCGAACGCUGGCGGCAGGCUUAACACAUGCAAGUCGAGCGGGCACCUUCGGGUGUCAGCGGCAGACGGGUGAGUAACACGUGGGAACGUACCCUUCGGUUCGGAAUAACGCUGGGAAACUAGCGCUAAUACCGGAUACGCCCUUAUGGGGAAAGGUUUACUGCCGAAGGAUCGGCCCGCGUCUGAUUAGCUAGUUGGUGGGGUAACGGCCUACCAAGGCGACGAUCAGUAGCUGGUCUGAGAGGAUGAUCAGCCACACUGGGACUGAGACACGGCCCAGACUCCUACGGGAGGCAGCAGUGGGGAAUAUUGGACAAUGGGCGCAAGCCUGAUCCAGCCAUGCCGCGUGAGUGAUGAAGGCCUUAGGGUUGUAAAGCUCUUUUGUCCGGGACGAUAAUGACGGUACCGGAAGAAUAAGCCCCGGCUAACUUCGUGC